rnacentral:rRNA from 1 species
AUGGCGUGGACAAAGGGAAAGCCACCUGGCGACAGGAGCGAAUCCCCAAACCACGUCUCAGUUCGGAUCGGAGUCUGCAACCCGACUCCGUGAAGCUGGAUUCGCUAGUAAUCGCGCAUCAGCCAUGGCGCGGUGAAUACGUUCCCGGGCCUUGUACACACCGCCCGUCAAGCCAUGGGAGCCGGGGGUACCUGAAGUCCGUAACCGAAAGGAUCGGCCUAGGGUAAAACUGGUGACUGGGGCUAAGUCGUAACAAGGUAAC